UCCGUAGGCGGGUAAUUAAGUCAGAGGUGAAAUCCCACAGCUUAACUGUGGAACUGCCUUAGAUACUGGUUAUCUUGAGUUUUAGUGAAGUAGAUAGAAUGUGUAGUGUAGCGGUGAAAUACAUAGAUAUUACACAGAAUACCGAUUGCGAAGGCAGUCUACUAACUAACAACUGACGCUAAUGGACGAAAGCGUGGGGAGCGAACAGGAUUAGAUACCCUGGUAGUCC
rnacentral:rRNA from 1 species